GUUUCGCUGAGCGAAAUUUAUUUUGUGGUUUUUUCAGCAAGUCGAAAAUCUUAGAAGAGAUUUUUAGAGUUCAGAUUCUUUGUUUCAUAAGAUAAGAAAAAAGGUUUAUUUUGUUAAUUAUAAUAUCAGGAAAGAUAGAUAUUUAUUCUCUUUCAGCCUAAAUGAAGCAUUUAGGUAUUUUAUAGAAGGUGAAUUGGCAAUUUAAAUAUUUACAAUGUCUGUUGUAUUCAUGAUCGAUGUUUUUUAUAGUAGGAUUUGAAAUGGCCUUUCUUUGAGUAUUUGUUUUUCAAGGAUACCUUACUUUCGACUUCGAUAAGUAGCGAAGCCAUUUUAGUCACUUGUUCGUGUAGUCUGUCGAGCGUCAAGUCACUGGAGAUGAGCUCUCCAGUUUUCCCAGUUUUCCCGUUUUUGUCCUGUUUGACGGUGACAUCAGUGAGCCCAGUGUUUCGGCAGUAAAUUGCUUAGUUCCGGCCAAAGAAAUUGAAUUUGAUUCUGUGUUGUCUUCGACUCUUCGUUUGAGGAAGCUAAUAAAGACGUCAUAAUCCCA